rnacentral:lncRNA from 1 species
UCUGAAAUUUUUUUUUUUUUAAAAAAAAUCUGACCCCAGGCUAUGCCAGAUCCGCCACAAAUACAGGAGAUCCACUGUUCACACGGACAGAGUCUCCCCUGUAUUUGCACGGCGUCGCACAAGUACAAGAGUUCAAACAUGAUACAACCACAACCAGAUGAACAUACAAAUAACCACAGUUAUAUAUUCAUACACCAUUCACCACAGGUUCAUAUUUUUACAUUCAAUAUUUAAACAUAAAUCCACAUCUAUCAGUUAAAAUGUUUCUAACCACAGAAACAAGUUUUGAAAUACUAAGAUACAAAAUCACAGAAAAUCCUGUGAAAACUGUUCCCUACACGGAAACUUUUAUCUUUUUAAAACGCUACCACGAGGGGUAGAAAACUAUUUUUAAUUCAAAAAAACACAAAUCCGUUAUUACAUUCCAAAACCAACAGAAAACUCAGAUAUUCAGAUAAUAACACAAACCUGAACCAUGUAAACCGACUAAGCUAUAAAUCAACAGAAAUAAUAAGGAUAAUAACUAAAUCGAAAUAACCUGGGUCGGAAGCUCUAUCGACCGCUACACACGUACCUCACGUCUCGUCCCACUAUUCACCUGUUACGCCCCGGGACCCAGCGGAAGCCCGCCC